rnacentral:rRNA from 1 species
GACGAACGCUGGCGGCGUGCUUAACACAUGCAAGUCGAACGGAAAGGCCCUGCUUUUGUGGGGUGCUCGAGUGGCGAACGGGUGAGUAACACGUGAGUAACCUGCCCUUGACUUUGGGAUAUCUUUAGGAAACUGGGGCUAAUACCGGAUAGGAGCUCCUGCUGCAUGGUGGGGGUUGGAAAGUUUCGGCGGUUGGGGAUGGACUCGCGGCUUAUCAGCUUGUUGGUGGGGUAGUGGCUUACCAAGGCUUUGACGGGUAGCCGGCCUGGGAGGGUUACCGGCCACAUUGGGACUGAGGUACGGCGCAGAAUCCUACGGGAGGCAGCAGUGGGGAGUAUUGCAGAGUGGGGGGAAGCCUGAGACAGCGACGCCGCGUGCGGGAUGACGGCUUACGGGGGGUAAACCGCUGUCGCCGGUGACGAAGCGUGAGUGACGGUAAUGGGUAAAGAAGCACCGGCUAACUACGUG